UGGGGAAUAUUGGACAAUGGGGCGAAAGCCUGAUCCAGCAAUGCCGCGUGUGUGAAGAAGGUCUUCGGAUUGUAAAGCACUUUCGACGGGGACGAUGAUGACGGUACCCGUAGAAGAAGCCCCGGCUAACUUCGUGCCAG
rnacentral:rRNA from 1 species